rnacentral:rRNA from 1 species
GACUAACGCUGGCGGCGUGCCUAAUACAUGCAAGUCGAGCGAGACUCUUCGGAGUCUAGCGGCGGACGGGUGAGUAACACGUGGGCAACCUGCCUGUAAGACUGGGAUAACACCGGGAAACCGGUGCUAAUACCGGAUAAUCCUUUUCCUCUCAUGAGGAAAAGUUGAAAGUCGGUUUCGGCUGACACUUACAGAUGGGCCCGCGGCGCAUUAGCAAGUUGGUGAGGUAACGGCUCACCAAGGCGACGAUGCGUAGCCGACCUGAGAGGGUGAUCGGCCACACUGGGACUGAGACACGGCCCAGACUCCUACGGGAGGCAGCAGUAGGGAAUCUUCCACAAUGGACGAAAGUCUGAUGGAGCAACGCCGCGUGAGCGAUGAAGGCCUUCGAGUCGUAAAGCUCUGUUGUUAGGGAAGAACAAGUACCGGAGUAACUGCCGGUACCUUGACGGUACCUAACCAGAAAGCCACGGCUAACUACGUGCCAGCAGCCGCCGCGGUAA